GAGUGAUCACAGUUUUUGAGAAUCAUGAUGAGGCAUUAAAGAAGAGGAGGAGUGUCUCAAGGGAGGUGAGCUGGAGGUGAUGCAAGGUGGAGAGAGGAUGCCAGACAGAUAUUUGAGCAGAACAAAGAGAGCCAACAGGAUGAAGGCAUUCCCUGGCUGGUUGGACAAGCAACUGAAGAACAGGAACAGAAGUGAAUGAAAAGAGAAGAUGCUGUGUUUGUGUUUUCUCUUGGUUAGAAUGCUGUGAGUCAGGACCUUAGCUGCUGGGUGUCCUGGGACUGCCUUCGGGUCACUUCUGCUCUGCAUUUGGGAAGGGGCUUACCCAUGUCU
rnacentral:lncRNA from 1 species